rnacentral:lncRNA from 1 species
GAUUCGGCAUAUCAAAGAACCCCAAUUAUUCAAUUUUUGAUGAAAUCACACAAAGUUCAAUUUUGGACCCUUUGGGCCCCUUAUUCCUAAACUGUUAGGACCAAAACUCCCAAAAUCAAACCCAACUUUCCUUUUAUGGUCAUAAACCUUGUGUUUAAAUUUCAUAGAUUUCUAUUUACUUAUACUAAAGUUAUGGUGCAAAAACCAAAAAUAAUGCUUAAUAGGGCCCCUUUUUGGCCCCUAAUUCAUAAACUGUUGUGACCUCAACUCCAAAAAUCAAUCCCAACCUUCUUUUUGUGGUCAUAAACCUUGUGCUAAAAUUUCAUUGAUUUCUAUUUACUUAUACUAAAGUUAUUGUGCGAAAACCAAGAAUAAUGCUUAUUUGGGCCCUUUUUUGGCCCUUAAUUCCUAAACUGUUGGAACAAAAACCCCCAAAAUCAAUCCCAACCUUCCUUUUGUGGUCAUAAACCUUGUGUCAAAAUUUCAUAGAUUUCUAUUCACUUAAACUAAAGUUGUAGUGCGAAAACCAAGAAAAUGCUUAUUUGGGCCCUUUUUGGCCCCUAAUCCCUAAAAUGUUGGGACCAAAACUCCCAAAAUCAAUACCAACCUUCCUUUUGUGGUCAUAAACCUUGUGUUAAAAUUUCAUAGAUUUCCAUUCACUUUUACUAAAGUUAGAGUGCGAAAACUAAAAGUAUUCGGACGCCGGACGACGACGACGACGACGACGACGACGACGCCGACGCCAACGUGAUAGCAAUAUACGACGAAAAUUUUUUCAAAUUUUGCGGUCGUAUAAAAAUGACAUAUCAAGGAAUUCAAUUUUAUAUAUAUCCAAUAUAGGACAAUGGUGUUGAUUAAAAAUUACACCACUCCAGACCCUUUUGUUUUCCACAUAAUUUAUAUUGCCAAUAAUUUCCAAGUUCCGGGUCGAAUCCGAUACCGAUACCAAUAGUAUAUUCACCUGUUACCUAUUACAUUAUCUGUACGUUUCUCAUCUGACAGGCACACCACCAAACAGUGUAUUUC